UCUGCUUGUCUUUCCCCCUUGUCUAGAAGUGUAUCAGCUUCAGCAAUGAGACCUUGUUUAUGCGAGCAAUAACCGUUAACUUAUUAUUAUACACAUUUGGCAAUUUUGUAAACAAAAACAUUGAAAUCGUAUAGUUUAUUGGUUUUGAUAUAAGAUAACGGUUAUUGCCCGCACAAACAAGGCUAUACUGUGUUGUGAAAAAGGUGAAUUUUGCAAUUUGUGCUCGGCAAGUUGGAUUUAUAAUUAUAUUGGAUAUAUAAAUUGGUGUGCAUCAGUUUUACAGUCGAACAAAAGACGAGGCUACACUAUAAGUAUUGUACGAAGAAAGGUCUACGUGCAUUUCUGCAAUUCUGUGCUCAGCAAUUUGGAUAUACAUUCUAUUGGAUAUAUAAAUUGGUGUGCAUCGGUUUUACAGUCAAAGAAAAGACGAGGCUACACUAUAGUAUAUUGUACGAAGGAAGGUGUAUGUGCAUUUCUGCAAUUCUGUGCUCAGCAAUUUGGAUAUAAGAAUAUAAUAUAAUUAAACAUAAUAUAAGGAUAUAAACAGAGAUGUGCAUUAUUUGAAAUGGAUGCAUUUAAAAUAGAAGUGCAAAAUGUACAAUGCCUAUUUUGUAUUUUAUAUUUAAAAUAUAUUUUUUCAAAACCUAUUUUACAUUUCCAUUUAAAUGGCUUUUACUAUCCAUUUUCUAUUUCAAAUACAA